rnacentral:rRNA from 1 species
CAAAACUUUCAACAACGGAUCUCUUGGUUCUGGCAUCGAUGAAGAACGCAGCAAAAUGCGAUAAGUAAUGUGAAUUGCAGAAUUCAGUGAAUCAUCGAAUCUUUGAACGCACAUUGCGCCCGCCCGUAUUCUGGCCGGCAUGCCUGUCCCAGCGUCAUUU